rnacentral:rRNA from 1 species
UACGGAGGGUGCAAGCGUUAUCCGGAUUUACUGGGUUUAAAGGGUGCGUAGGUGGGUCUGUAAGUCAGUGGUGAAAUCUCCGAGCUUAACUCGGAAACUGCCAUUGAUACUAUAGGUCUUGAAUUAUCUGGAGGUAAGCGGAAUAUGUCAUGUAGCGGUGAAAUGCUUAGAUAUGACAUAGAACACCCAUUGCGAAGGCAGCUCACUACACGAUAAUUGACGCUGAGGCACGAAAGCGUGGGGAGCAAACAGG